rnacentral:rRNA from 1 species
GCAAAUCAAACAAUUAUAAUAAAAAUAAUUAUAAUAAUGUGGUGUAAACGUGAGUAAAAAUAAAGAAUAAUGAACUAUAAAUAUUAUUAAAAAUAAUAUAAGUCCCACCGACCCAAUACAGCUAAGCUGUCUUGGGUCGGCGGGGGAAUAAAUAAUAUAUAAUAUAAUAUAUAUAUUAGUUUUAUAGUCAAGCUUUAAAUGGUUUAAGGUAGUAGGUAUAGUAAGAGUUUACCUAGCCAACGAUCCAUAAUCAAUAAUUAACGUUAUAAUGAUCACGUUGAUUCUG